rnacentral:ncRNA from 1 species
UCAAAUGCUUGGAUGGACAAUCAGUAGGACAAAGAAUGGCGCUUGCAGAGAGCCGGUGGCGGGUGUGAACCGGUACGCGACUUUGAUCUGAAUUACGGUCCGGAGCAGCGGAAGGGAACUUUGCUUAUAAAGCGCAAACAGUAGCUUCCGAUCGGGUGUUCCCGUUAUCCUGUCAAAGUGAAAACCGCUAUGACGCCACUGGUAGAGAGCAUGUUUCUGCCAACUAGAGCAUCUGCGGUUUUAAGUAGGGUGGUACCGCGAGACAUAGCCUUCUCGUCCCUUGU